rfam:Myotis brandtii contig260937, whole genome shotgun sequence.
CUCAGGGAGGGGUUGUCCCUCAGCCCGAAUUGCGAGAGGGUGCAGGCCAGGCCGAGUGACCCCACUGGUGCACA